CACGAGUGUAAAAGUCAAGGAUUGCAGGAUGUCACAGAGGCUUCUCAAAUGGUAUAUAAGACUAAUGCUGCAACAGCUGCAUUACUGGAGUCCUUUGCCAACGCUACUCUCAGCAAGGUGUGCAUCAGUGCCUGACUAGAAUUCAAAAUGCGUUACUCAGUGCUGGUAUUACUGAUGGUAGCAGUGGGUGUUGCUAGUGCUGCCGCUGUCCUCCCAGUACCUGUUGUUAGCGUACCUACAGGAGCUGUUGGAGGAUUCAUCCCAUCUGCUGCCCAGGGCUUCAUACCUUCCGUGGAUACCAUACAAGCUCUGGCUGCUCUACACACCACUGUUGCCCCUCCACCCAGUUCAACUCCUGCACUGUGAAUGGCAAUGGAUUAAAAUAAUAACAUCACUGAUCAAUAGCCAGUCAGCAGACAUUUGUACUUACUACUGAUAAUGGAGGUCUCUUAGUGAUACACAUGGUGCUGGAGGUGCUUCAACAUCACCUGAUUCUGUGGUCUUCAAGCUAUGCAUUAUUAGGCUUCAGGCAAACUUCUUCAUCCUAUGGUCUUCAAGCUAUGCAAUAUCAGGCUUCAGGCAAACUUCAUCCUAUGGUCUUCAAGCUAUGCAGUUUUAGUCUUCAAACUACAUCAACGUAUGUAGUCAACAUUGAACACUCCCUGCUACUGUUUUAAAGAUCUGUUUGUUCACUCUCUAAAUUCGAGGUCCUGU